rnacentral:rRNA from 1 species
UACGGGGGGGGUAAGCGUUGUUCGGAAUUACUGGGCGUAAAGGGCUCGUAGGCGGCCAACUAAGUCAGACGUGAAAUCCCUCAGCUUAACUGGGGAACUGCGUCUGAUACUGGAUGGCUUGGAUUCGGGAGAGGAAUGCGGAAUUCCAGGUGUAGCGGUGAAAUGCGUAGAUAUCUGGAGGAACACCGGUGGCGAAGGCGGCAUUCUGGUCCAAUACUGACGUUCAUGUGCGAAAGCGUGGGGAGCAAACAGG